rnacentral:tRNA from 1 species
GUUUUAAUAAUUUAAGUAAAAUACUAGUCUUGUAAACUGGAAAUAAGGAAACUUUUAAAACU